GCACCCGUAGCUCAAUUGGAUAGAGCACUCGGCUACGAACCGAGCGACCGGAGGUUCGAAUCCUCUCGGGUGUA
rnacentral:tRNA from 2 species